rnacentral:misc_RNA from 1 species
GAAAUGCGAUAAGUAAUGUGAAUUGCAGAAUUCAGUGAAUCAUCGAAUCUUUGAACGCACAUUGCGCCCGCCAGUAUUCUGGCGGGCAUGCCUGUUCGAGCGUCAUUUCAACCAUCAAGCCCCCGGGCUUGUGUUGGGGACCUGCGGCUGCCGCAGGCCCCGAAAACCAGUGGCGGGCUCGCUGUCACACCGGGCGUAGUAGAUUUUUCGUCUCGCCCAGGGCGUGCUGCGGGUUCCGGCCGUUAAAAAGCCUCUCUUUUUAACCCAAGGUUGACCUCGGAUCAGGUAGGAAGACCCGCUGAACUUAAGC